rnacentral:rRNA from 1 species
UACGUAGGGGGCAAGCGUUGUCCGGAAUCAUUGGGCGUAAAGAGCGUGUAGGCGGCCCGGUAAGUCCGCUGUGAAAGUCCAGGGCUCAACCCUGGGAUGCCGGUGGAUACUGCUGGACUAGAGUGCGGAAGAGGCGAGUGGAAUUCCUGGUGUAGCGGUGAAAUGCGCAGAUAUCAGGAGGAACACCGAUGGCGAAGGCAGCUCGCUGGGACGGUACUGACGCUGAGGCGCGAAAGCUAGGGUAGCAAACGGG